CCUUAAGAGAUUAGGGGUGCUAGCUUGCUAGAACCUACACACAGGUGCUGCACGGCUGUCGUCAGCUCGUGUCGUGAGAUGUUGGGUUAAGUCCCGCAACGAGCGCAACCCUCGUCGUUAGUUGCUAACAGUUCGGCUGAGCACUCUAACGAGACUGCCUUCGCAAGGAGGAGGAAGGUGAGGACGACGUCAAGUCAUCAUGGCCCUUACGGCCAGGGCUACACACGUGCUACAAUGGGGCGUACAAAGAGCUGCAAUACCGCGAGGUGGAGCCAAUCUCUUAAAGCGUCUCUCAGUUCGGAUUGUUCUCUGCAACUCGAGAGCAUGAAGCUGGAAUCACUAGUAAUCGUAGAUCAGCUAUGCUACGGUGAAUACGUUCCCGGGUCUU
rnacentral:rRNA from 1 species